rnacentral:sRNA from 1 species
AUGGACCACGCGUACACUGCGGUUCUGAGUGCGCGGUCCGCACCCACCUGACGACUGCUCGCUACGUUUUGUCGGCC